AAGAAGCUCUUUAGUUCUUUUAUUGUGUCUCUACUCUAUGAUUUCAACACAUAAUAAUGCGUGUAAGAUGGAGUUUUAUGUGCUGAAUAAUAGAUAAUAUGAUCUGACCAAGACAAAAUAUAUACACUAGCUGUUUUAUGUGCUCGAUCUUUUAUUAAACCCACUAAAUAGAGGUUUUAUUAUCUUCCAUGUAUGUGAUACACAGAGCUUCCAAACAAUGUCAAAUGCACAAGGACUUCAUUGCCUCCUCAUUUUUUUUUUUGAGCAAUUCAUUGCCUCCUCAUUUGAUUACCACACAAUCCUAGAAACUGUGUGCUAUUAAGAAUAGAAAAAUUGAAUUUUACUAAGAAUAUAGGUAGAUCAUGCAUUACGCCAAUUAUAUGCUGCUAACAUAAUCAAAUAAUUAGCAGAACAUUCGGCAUGAAUUGAAGAAACACACUUGAAGUCUAGUCUUGACAACCCAGAGUGGAUUUGUAAACAAGGUAGUUGCAGCUCCAGCACCAGCAGCAGCUACCAUAUUAGAUCCAACUGAAAGGUGAUGGCUUUCAUCUGCAUAAAUAUUAUAGGGGUUAUAUAUAAUUUGUACAUUUUUAUAACUCGCUUCUAGAACCUAUGAAUCCCACACAUAGUACGACACAAAUACAGGGACACCAUGAAAUUUUAAAAAGCAAGAUAUGACACAACCAAGAUACAUUAAGAGGCAUUCACAGUGUUGUGUGCAACAUAAAUGCAGUGUUUGUUAAAAGGCAUUCACAUUACUAAUUGCUCAUUAAUAUAUAAACAUAUCAAUAGUCAAUAUAUAAUGAUCACAAUUUAUUAAAAAGAUAUACUUAGUAAUCGUAAUAAGUAAGCAUAAUUACAUAUCUCUGGUGAUCGUGAUACUUCAGUGUUUUUGUAACAUUAAAAUGCACAAUGUUUGUUAAGAGACAUACACAUUACUAAUUGUUCAUUAAUACAUAAAAUAUCAAUUGUCAUUAUGCAAUAUAUGAUCACAAUUUCCCCCAAAAAAAACUUACUUAAGUAGGCAUUUUUUUAUUCUUAAAAUUUGGGUUAGACCUAACUCAACCCUUCAAAACUGGCUUUUAAGGUGAAGAAUGCCUCCUACUUAUAAACUCAUUUUCAGGCUAUAUCUCACACAUGUGGGACUCUUAACAGUUAUAUAUCUUUCACCAACGCAUAUCAAAACAUAUUAUUUCUACUAUGAAUAUGUCAAAGAAAAACACAAAAUUUUGUGUCUAUAGUUAGUAAGACAUAUAUAAAAUGUACCGUAUCCGAAUGACAAUCGUUUCUUCCUUUGGUAAGACGUAGCUGUUAAGUAUUGGGUGAAAUAUUUUUAAAAAGAAUAGAAAACUAUAAGGUUCUUCCUGGGCACGUGUUAGACACCGAUACUUUUCAAUUUUCAAACUAUCUUGGCUUCAUAGGAUAAAACAAAGCAAGUUGGCAUCUCCAAAAUUAAAAAUCAAUUAGUGGACUAUUUACAUCACAAAAAGAAUUAUGUUAACAACUCCCCCUAAUUUGGUUCAAUAUGAAAGUAAGCAAUGGACUAAC
rnacentral:lncRNA from 1 species